GUAAAGGAUUUUUAAUCCUUUUCUCAUCAUCUGAGGAAAGUUUCAGAAUUACAAGAGACAUCUCAGUUUGUCAAUGGCAGCAACAAGGAAGCACCGAGCCAAGCCCCCGCAAAGCAGUUACCUCCUAACCGUGACAGCACAGGUGUGGUAUUUAAGUCAUCUUUCUGCAUUAGGCAGAGACUGCCCUGGUGCAAGCUUUAAGGAUGACAAAGACAGGAGGAUGGAGACACUUUCAGGUGCCCAUGUCAACUCGUCUCCCUCCAGUUCUCUGCCUGGGGUUUCAGUUAGUAGAGGCACAGACUCUACUGCUCUCCACUAGACCCAGUUUUGCUGCUUAGAAUGCACCCCCGACCUGUCAUAAGACAUUACUUAUAAUUUAUCAUUAGUAUCUUACACAUUGUUUAUUGUAUGCCAUAUAAAUCAAAUAAACUCAAAGAUAUAUGG